rnacentral:pre_miRNA from 1 species
AAAAAGACAAACUGUGGGUUCCCGUGCCAACGUUUGACUGUCCGUCUUAUAUGAAAUUUUUUUAUAAUUAGUAUUUUCAUUGUUGUUAGAUGAUAAAACAUGAUUAAUACUUUAUGCUUGACUUAUCUUUUUAAAUUUUUUUAUAAUUUUUUUAAAUAAGACGGACGGUGAAACGUUGGACACGGAAACCAGGUUUCUCUUUUU